AGCAAGUAUGAAGAUCUGGCAACUCUUCAUUGUAGUUGCCCCAUUGCUUAACUAAAGGCAAGGUGUCCUUUAUGCAGCUGCUUCUGGAGAUGUGCGAUUACCUGAUUACACUAUGGAGUCAUUCUUUCCACUGAGAAGACUCACAGCGUCUUCAAAGCCCACAGACAAAUGAGCAGAUACUAUCAGGAGAUUUCAUGUCAAAGCAUGAUGAAUAGGAAAGACUUGGCCGACGUACUUUGAACUUGCUCAAGUGGACCUCCUGGCCAUAAAUGUGGAACACCUGAAGGUGAGGUCUUAUAAUUUGACAGAAACAGGUAACCAGGAAAAAAAAGCACUGGAACAAAUGAUUAAUGUUUGCGUUUUCCCCAUCUUCAUCCCAAGAGAGAAUAUUUGAUAGACUUAUUUAUUUUAACGAAGACAUGCCCAAAGAGGAGAGACUAUUGCUUCUCAGAACAAUAAGAUAAAAAUAAACUGUAGCUACACAUUUACAGGAGAGGGUUGAUGAAAUAAUUUUUAAAUGCUCUUUUUUACUUGAAUUUUUGGGGAAUGUAUGAAUAUUUAUGUUAUGCUACCAAGCGGGCACCAAAUUCAUCUACUUGCUUUCGUUUUCCACCAUUGAUGUACUUGUAUAAUUUUGUAUAACAACUCCACAUCCCCAGAUCAAAGUCUUUGGAGAGUAGCUCAAUUUUCCCCAACUUCACCCUUGAUUCUUACAUUGUCACCAUUCACUGGAGUAUAUCAUGGAACUGUCACUGAUAUAGAGAUUCCUGCUCUUAUUUACACCUUUCACACCUUUACAUUUAUUUACACAUUUACACCACAAUAUUCUAAUUAGGAGUUCCCAAAUGUGACAACUUUAAGAUGCAUGGACGUCAACUCCCAGAAUUUCCCAUGCUAGCUAAGGAAUUCUGGGAAUUGAAGUUACUCAUCUCAGAGUUGCCAAGAUGGGAGACACCUGUACUAGAUUAUACCAGUUCAUGUGUUCUGAGAAAGAUCUUAACUCUUUUAGUAUAACUUAACUCUACUUCCCUUCAUGUAUGUAUCCAUUCCAUUCCACAAGACAAGACAAGACCAUCUUCAUUCCAAUCUCUUACAGCCUUCUCUUUUAUUUUAUUGUCACACAAGUUAUCUUUUCUUUUACUUAUUAAUUCAUGCUUUUUACCCUUCUAACAUUUCAAAUUGCAAUUUACAGCUUGUAACUAAGUUGCCCAUGGUUGGUACUGGAAAAGUCUAUGAAUGAAUUCUGUUAGCAAGAUAUACUAAUAAAAUGCAUAAUAACCAGUUCUGCCAUCUCCAUUGUCCCUACUAAGCCAUGAGCUGCCAAAUGGCUUAUUGGCAUGACAGGUGUCAUGGCUGAGCUCUGCUGUCAAUUGGCUUGUCAAAUUCUGUAAAAUUUAACAAUUGGGCCUUACAAGUCAGUAUGUGCUGGCUCCAGAACACUACUGCCUACCACUCAUCAGGACUUUGACCAACUGAACAAUGAUCAAACAAGCAUAGGAAAAAUGUGCUGGAAUAAUAUUGCCCUUUAACCUGCAGUGAUGGUCAAGGACGAGGACCAGGUUGAAGAGAAAGUUAUUUUUUCAGAAAUCACAGGUGUCUUCUCUUCUCCUCUUUUCUUCCAUCUUUUUCCUU